rnacentral:siRNA from 1 species
GGAAGUCCACGUGUUGCAUCCCUC